rnacentral:rRNA from 1 species
CACGUAGGGGCCAAGCGUUGUCCGGAUUUAUUGGGCGUAAAGAGCUCGUAGGCGGUUCGACAAGUCGGGGGUGAAAACUCCGGGCUCAACCCGGAGACGCCACCCGAUACUGUCGUGACUGGAGUCCGGUAGGGGAGUGGGGAAUUCCUGGUGUAGCGGUGAAAUGCGCAGAUAUCAGGAGGAACACCCGUGGCGAAGGCGGUUCUCUGGGACGGUACUGACGCUGAGACGCGAAAGCGUGGGGAGCGAACAGG